rnacentral:rRNA from 1 species
GAUGAACGCUGGCGGCGUGCCUAAUACAUGCAAGUCGAGCGAACAGACGAGGAGCUUGCUCCUCUGACGUUAGCGGCGGACGGGUGAGUAACACGUGGAUAACCUACCUAUAAGACUGGGAUAACUUCGGGAAACCGGAGCUAAUACCGGAUAAUAUAUUGAACCGCAUGGUUCAAUAGUGAAAGACGGUUUUGCUGUCACUUAUAGAUGGAUCCGCGCCGCAUUAGCUAGUUGGUAAGGUAACGGCUUACCCAGGCAACGAUGCGUAGCCGACCUGAGAGGGAGACCGCCCACACUGGAACUGAACCCGGGCCAAGCCCCCUAGGGGGGGAACAGGGAGGAAAUCUCCCGAAAGGGGCAAAGGUUUGACGGGGAAGCCCCGGGGGAGUGAGAAAGGUUUUCGGAUCGAAAAACUGUUUUAUGGGGAAAAAAAAAAUGUGAAAGAAACAGUGCCCUUCUUGACGGAACCUAAUAAAAAACCCACGGCAAACUCCGGG